GGAAAUGUGGCUCAGUGGUAGAGCAUCUGUUUUGCAUGCAGAAGGCUGCAGGUUCAAACCCCAGCAUCUCCA